rnacentral:rRNA from 1 species
CAAUAGAGUGGGGAGAGCUUCAAGUAGAGGUGAUAAGCCUACCGAGCACAGUUAUAGCUGGUUGCCUGAGAAAUGAAUAGGAGUUCAGCCCUUUAAGUUUCCCUCAUCCCACAAGUUAUUACAUAAUUUGAUAAAGGAAAUUAAAGGAGUUAAUCAAAAGGGGCACAGCUCUUUUGAUAAAAGAAACAACUUUUACAGGUGGUUCAAGAUCAUAAUAUCAAAGGAUUUUAACCUAAGUGGGCCUAAAAGCAGCCAUCUAACAGAAAGCGUUAAAGCUCAAAUUAAUCACCAUCUUGAUAUCUCGAUAAAAAUUCUUCCUCCCUGUUAAUCUACCAGGCUGUCUUAUGCACCCAUAAGAACAAUAAUGCUAAAAUGAGUAAUAAGAAGAACCUAAUUCUUCUCCUAGCACAUGUGUACGUUGGAACGGACCCCCCGCCAACAGUUAUCCGACCCCAAACUAAGAGGGCCAUAAAUUAAAUAAACAAGAAAACUAUUUAAAACACAUCGUUAACCCCACACAGGUGUGCCCUAAGGAAAGACUAAAAGAGAAGGAAGGAACUCGGCAAACACAAGCCUCGCCUGUUUACCAAAAACAUCGCCUCUUGCUUCACAAAGUAUAAGAGGUCCCGCCUGCCCUGUGACGAAAGUUUAACGGCCGCGGUAUUCUAACCGUGCGAAGGUAGCGUAAUCACUUGUUUUUUAAAUGGAGACCAGUAUGAAUGGCAUCACGAGGGCUUAACUGUCUCCCUUCUUUAGUCAAUGAAAUUGACCUUCCCGUGCAGAGGCGGGAAUUACUAUAUAAGACGAGAAGACCCUGUGGAGCUUUAGACCUAAAAUAAGUCACAUUUAACAUGCUUAAACAACAGUAAAAAUAUAGUGAAACAUUAUUGAAGUGUCUUUGGUUGGGGCGACCAUGGGGUAAAACACAACCCCCAUACGGACUGGGGAUACAAUCCCUAAUACCCAGAGCCUCCGCUCCAAGUAACAGAAUUUCUGACCUUACGAUCCGGUUACCCGAUUAACGAACCGAGUUACCCCAGGGAUAACAGCGCAAUCCCCUCCCAAAGCCCUUAUCGACGAGGGGGUUU